ensembl:lincRNA
AUGAAAUCAGCAGCUCCUCCAUUCAGGAUUUCCACCCGUUUGUUACAGAGCUGGAAACAGGGGAGUUCCCAUCCUCUUCGCGCUGCGAUUGCCGCCGCUCCUCUUUAUUCUACUCUCUGCGGAGGCCCGCGCCCGUCCCGGGAGGCGGCCGUGCCAGGAAGGCGGCCCGACCAGUGCCCCGCGCCUGGUCCGCGUCCUGGCCCACCUUCGCCCUUCGUCGUCGUCUCCAAGACGAAAGCCCCGAAUGGGGACGCGGAGUGUUUGUACCCUCUGCGCCGCAGCCGGUCCCGGCACUUGCAAAAUGGUCCUCCCUUGAAAUUCAGGAUUCUUACUUUGCUCAUUGCCUGGCCCCAGUCCCCUGCUAAGAACUGUCAGGUUUCUGGACGGUGUCCUCUCUCUGGUCACCAUGAUCUCUGAUUCCAAGGACCUUGUCAGCACCUGCAGAUGUCACAAGGAAGCCAAUUCCUCAACACAAGUAAGAGGAACAAUUGAGAAUAUCAAAGCAAGGAGCAGGAAAGACUAUUGCACCAUAUUACUGCUGAUGCUUAUUUCUGAAUUUUCUUCCACGUGGUCUUUGCCUUCAUCCUGAUUCCUGGUGCUUGGGACAAAAGUGAUCAUGGAGUUCGUUUCUUGGCUACACAUGGUGUUUCAUUGGUCCCUUCUCUUCCAUCAGAGGACACAUUUAUCUUCCACUCAUUAAUUCAGCUGGUGUGAAUUUGCAAGCAUGUGUUCACUGGAAGAAAUUUAAAUGAUUGUAACCUUAAACUCAAGAGAACAAAAACCCUAGUCAUUUAAAGAAUUUUAACAGAGUCUGCUAAGUGUCUGUUAUAUUAUCCAAAGACCAGUCAUAUCUUUAUCCACUCUAAGUCUAACACAUGUCAAACAGAUUUUGACAAUUUCUAUUUCCAUUAACAACAGAAGAUUGCCUGUUAUGUGCUGUAACAUCUAGAACAGUGCCUGACACAUAAAAGGCCCUUAACAAGUACUUGCUGAAUGAAUAAAUUAGGUAUACAAAAAGUAUUUGAAGAGCAGAUUUCUUCUCUUUUCAAUAUUUUCUUUUCUUUUUCCUGCAUUCUCCACAAUAUGAACCACAGAUUUCCAUACAAAGCUGGUGAGUAUCAAAUGGAUGGGUUGAUAAAUAAGAGACCCAGUAACACUGGUUAUAAAAUACCCAUAUGAUACGAUCUCAAAUGUGUCUAAAGACACAUAUGGAAGCAUAAAAAACACGGUAGCAGGGAAUGCAGCAGGACAGGAACGGUAGUUAUCCCUGUGUUGCGUAAUUUUCUUAUUUUAAUUUUUCUGAAAUUAAUAUGGAUAACUUUAAUUUAUAUUACCAAAAUCACUAUAGUCAUGAUAAGAAGAAUUUAAAUAAUACCAAAGUUAUUUAAACAUAAAUUUUGUUUUCAUCCCAAAUCCUACUCCCCAAAGCUAAAUAUUAUUAACUCUUUGAUAUGGACACACACAAAUAAUAUAGAAAAUAGCACAAUCAUACUGUAUAAACCAUAUUGUAUCCAGCUUUUUCAUUCAAUGAUAUGGUGUGCAUGUGUAUAAAUGUACAUAUGUAUAUAUGUAUGUAUGUAUUUUUGUAUGUUGUGUAUGAUAUAUACCAGGUAAAUAAAUAUUCUUUACCCUAUUUUAACAGCUACUAAUUAUUUCAUUGAAAUGGAUGCACCCUCCUUUAUUUUUGGUAAAUGAUUAGGCUAUUUUCAACUUUUUGUCUGUAAUAAACACACCAUUUCACGCUUGUUCAAUGAUUUUCCUAUAUUAAAUUUAUAUGAACAUAUUUAUAAUAUGAACAGUCUAGACAUAGUUAAAGAUUUUGAUGUAUUUUGUCAGAUAGCUUUCCAGAAACGACAUAAUGAUGUGCAUUCCAAUUAUGUGUAAGAUUUUUGCUUCCCUAAAACAUUUACUAAAAUCAAACAUAAAAUAUUUUAA